rnacentral:rRNA from 1 species
UACGUAGGCGGGAAAUUAAGUCAGUAGUGAAAUCCCACAGCUUAACUGUGGAACUGUUAUUGAUACUGGUUUUCUUGAAUAUAGUUGAGGUAGGCGGAAUGUGUAAUGUAGCGGUGAAAUGCUUAGAUAUUACACAGAACACCGAUUGCGAAGGCAGCUUACUAAGCUAUGACUGACGCUGAGGUACGAAAGCGUGGGGAGCGAACAGGAUUAGAUACCCUGGUAGUC